UUUGAAUCAUUAGCUAAGUUUAUAUAAAUUGCAAGUAAAUCUAAACUGGUCACAGGGAUAGUGCAUUUAGAACAAUCUGUAUUUCUUUUACCAUAACUAAUUUUGUACUUAAUGAAAUGAGUUAUGACCAAUGUCAAAUGAAUCCUGAGAUGUAUACCUAAAACUUUGUAGAAUAUAUAUAAACUUGAAUCUAUAUAAAAAUG
rnacentral:lncRNA from 1 species